rnacentral:rRNA from 1 species
AACGAACGCUGGCGGCAUGCCUAACACAUGCAAGUCGAACGAACCCUUCGGGGUUAGUGGCGCACGGGUGCGUAACGCGUGGGGAUCUGCCCUUUGCUUCGGAAUAACAGUUAGAAAUGACUGCUAAUACCGGAUGAUGUCGUAAGACCAAAGAUUUAUCGGCAAAGGAUGAACCCGCGUAGGAUUAGCUAGUUGGUAGGGUAAAGGCCUACCAAGGCGACGAUCCUUAGCUGGUCUGAGAGGAUGAUCAGCCACACUGGGACUGAGACACGGCCCAGACUCCUACGGGAGGCAGCAGUGGGGAAUAUUGGACAAUGGGCGAAAGCCUGAUCCAGCAAUGCCGCGUGAGCGAUGAAGGCCUCGG